UUUUUCUUAAGGAUGCAGUGACAUGCAAGGCGAGGCAAAUUGAAGCCAAAACAGAAGGACGGUCGGAAGUGUGCCAUUUUUUCUAUAUAGGGCAGGGGGUGGUUCUUCAAUCUUCAGGGAAUCAAGCGGUAGCACCGGAUGCUGACAUGCAUGGAAGCAGUAAACAUUGAUAGGAAUACAAGCAUUGGAGUACUCGCCAUGUUCGAGGAAUUCGUAGCUGAUGGCGGCAUCAUCAUGGAGCAGGCACCAUCUUCUCCUCUAUUUAAACUGUAGUACUUCAUGUACUCCCACUUGUAAACUUUCUGAAAUGCAAAUCCACUCCAAGAAUGUGCUCUGAAA